CCCUUAGAUGUUCUGGGCUGCACGCGUGUUACAAUCGGGAGUACAACAAGAUUGCAAAUCCUAGUGGAUGAGUGGUUCUUCGAAAUUUUCUGAAGACUGGGAUAGUUGAUUGAAAUUAUUCAACUCAAACGAGGAAUUCCUUGUAAUUGUAAUUCAUUAUAUUGUAAUGAAUACGUCCCUGCCCUUUGUACACACCGCCCGUCGCUCCUACCGAUUGAACGAUCCGGUGAAUUAUUUGGAGUAGCUCUGGAAGUUGCAGAACUUCCUAUGUCACGAAAUUUUGUAAACCUUAUCGUUUAGAGGAAGGAAAAGGCGUAACA
rnacentral:rRNA from 1 species